AGGGUUUGAUCCUGGCUCAGAUUGAACGCUGGCGGCAUGCCUUACACAUGCAAGUCGAACGGCAGCACGGACUUCGGUCUGGUGGCGAGUGGCGAACGGGUGAGUAAUGUAUCGGAACGUACCUUUCAGUGGGGGAUAACGCAGCGAAAGUUACGCUAAUACCGCAUAUUCUGUGAGCAGGAAAGCAGGGGAUCGCAAGACCUUGCGCUGAUUGAGCGGCCGAUAUCAGAUUAGCUAGUUGGUGAGGUAAAGGCUCACCAAGGCGACGAUCUGUAGCGGGUCUGAGAGGAUGAUCCGCCACACUGGAACUGAGACACGGUCCAGACUCCUACGGGAGGCAGCAGUGGGGAAUUUUGGACGAUGGGGGCAACCCUGAUCCAGCCAUGCCGCGUGAGUGAAGAAGGCCUUCGGGUUGUAAAGCUCUUUCGGCCGGGAAGAAAUCGCAUGGGUUAAUACCCUGUGCGGAUGACGGUACCGGCAUAAGAAGCACCGGCUAACUACGUGCCAGCAGCCGCGGUAAUACGUAGGGUGCGAGCGUUAAUCGGAAUUACUGGGCGUAAAGCGUGCGCAGGCGGUUUUUUAAGACAGGCGUGAAAUCCCCGGGCUCAACCUGGGAACUGCGCUUGUGACUGGAAGGCUAGAGUAUGGCAGAGGGGGGUGGAAUUCCACGUGUAGCAGUGAAAUGCGUAGAGAUGUGGAGGAACACCAAUGGCGAAGGCAGCCCCCUGGGCCAAUACUGACGCUCAUGCACGAAAGCGUGGGUAGCAAACAGGAUUAGAUACCCUGGUAGUCCACACCCUAAACGAUGUCAACUAGGUGUUGGGUGGGUAAAACCAUUUAGUACCGGAGCUAACGCGUGAAGUUGACCGCCUGGGGAGUACGGCCGCAAGGUUAAAACUCAAAGGAAUUGACGGGGACUCGCACAAGCGGUGGAUGAUGUGGAUUAAUUCGAUGCAACGCGAAAAACCUUACCUACCCUUGACAUGUCCAGGAGCCUGAAGAGAUUUGGGUGUGCCCGAAAGGGAACUGGAACACAGGUGCUGCAUGGCUGUCGUCAGCUCGUGUCGUGAGAUGUUGGGUUAAGUCCCGCAACGAGCGCAACCCUUGUCGUUAAUUGCCAUCCCGCAAGGGAGCACUCUCAGGACACCGCCAGCGAUAAGCUGGAGGAAGGUGGGGAUGACGUCAAGUCCUCAUGGCCUUUAUGUCCAGGGCUACACACGUGCUACAAUGGACGGUACAAAGCGCUGCAAACCCGCGAGGGGGAGCCAAUCCCAGAAAGCCGAUCGUAGUCCGGAUCGCAGGCUGCAACUCGCCUGCGUGAAGU
rnacentral:rRNA from 1 species